CCAUGCUGAAAAAUCCAAAUAAGCUUUCUCGGUCAACACUGGGAGCGAACCCGCAACCUCCCGGGUAGCAAGCCAGUGCCUUACACACUAAGCCACAUGGCUCUCUUUUAAUUACUGUGACUCUCCAGUCACAUGACAAACAAGGGUUAUUAAAACAGAUUUUCACGGUUUAGGUAAGAUCUUCGGGAUUAAAAUGGUUUUAGAUAUCACACAGUUUGUAUAUGGUAAGGUAUCUUAAACAGUUAAUUACAUGUCACAUAUUCAUAUUUUUCAGUUUCCAUAUUAGAUGCCAUAGCAAAUCAAAGAUCAUAUAAUAAAAUAAGUCAAAAAACCCAAAUAUGGGAAAAGAAAGAGCUGAAGAAAUGGCGAUUUGAGCACCUAUGAUUUCUCAUAGGUGUUUUUGGAGGUUAACUACAUCAGAAAGAUCAAGACAGUUGGAAAUGGCUAUUCAUAUUAUGGAAACUUUUUCUCACAGAGCUUGAUAAUCAGGUAAAAUGCUGGAAGAUUAUUUGAUGUAUGAUAACAACAAGAGGUCCCAAGCAUCAAUUUAUUUUAUAAUUCUGGAAAAGAAUGCAUUUGACCCAAUUUUUGAAUAUUUUUUUUUGUUUUUACUGUUAAAUAUUCAUCCCAAACACAAUUAGAUUUUAAUUCUCUACAGAAAUUUAUGUAUAAUAUAGAAUGUAAAGUGACAUAUAAAUCACUUAGAAUUUGGUUGGAAAUCAUAAAGUAUUUAAUAGGCAUAGUCUAGAAACCAAAUGUAGAUCAAAUAUACCCAGAAUUACAAAAAAACCUUGACCUACAUUAAGGUGACUUUCCCUUGCUUAUGAAAUGAAAUAGGGUUUAAUAUCCUACUUUUCUGUGUUAUUAUGGUGGUUCUGCCCAACAACCUACUCUUAUAUCAAAUAUUUCAACUGUCAAGGGUUGUUUAAAGGGAACCCAGGAGGGCCGAAUGGUUAACACACGCACAUUGGAUCAGAAGGGUCUGUCAUUGAGUCAGAUAAUUCAAUUGUCAAGGGUUCUUUAAAGUAAAAGCAGUGGGGGUAGUUUCAAUUCUGGGCUUAUACCCAAUUAUCCCUUGCUAUGUCCUACACUACUGACGUGUGGGAACUAUGUCGGAAAAUCCAGUUGAAAUUUCUCGGCCAAUGCACUCACUGAACCACAGUGGCUCCUCCUUGCUUUUGACUUGUGAUUAUUUAUAUAUAUUUUGUACAUAUUAUUUAAUGUUUGCGAUUUUCUCUGAUAUUUUUUUAUUUUUCAAUCCUGUAAUCUUGAUGCUUUGCUCCUUUUAUGUACAAAAUAUUCAUUUUGUUUGAGGAAAAGGUUCUACAUCAUUUUAUUACUCCUGCAAAAUAGUGCACUAUUCUUUUGUUAGUUUUCUGUGUAUGCUAGUUAUUUCUAGAUGCCUCACAAAUCACUUGUAAUAUGACUUUGUAGCACUUUUCAGUUUCUGAAAGUAUUUCAAUUUAGUGCAUAAUUAAUCUAAUUAGGGAUUGGUUUGGAUGUUAUUAAAUUUAGA